rnacentral:rRNA from 1 species
GCGCAGCAGGCGCGAAAACUUUACAAUGUGCGAAAGCACGAUAAGGGAACUCUGAGUGCCUCCUAAGGAGGCUGUUCAGGUGUCUAAAAGCACCUGAAGGAAGGGCUGGGUAAGACCGGUGCCAGCCGCCGCGGUAACACCGGCAGCCCAAGUAGUAGCCACGUUUAUUGGGUCUAAAGCGUCCGUAGCCGGCUGGGUAAGUUCCUUGGGAAAUUUGGCUGCUUAACAGUCAAGCUUUCAGGGAAUACUGCUCGGCUUGGGACCGGGAGAGGUCAGAGGUACUCCAGGGGUAGGGGUGAAAUCCAUUAAUCCUUGGGGGACCACCGGUAGCGAAGGCGUCUGACCAGACCGGGUCCGACGGUGAGGGACGAAGGCUAGGGGCGCGAACCGGAUUAGAUACCC